AGUGAACGCUGGCGGCAGGCCUAACACAUGCAAGUCGAACGGCAGCACAAGAGAGCUUGCUCUCUGGGUGGCGAGUGGCGGACGGGUGAGGAAUGCAUCGGAAUCUGCCCAUUUGUGGGGGAUAACCUCGGGAAACCGGGACUAAUACCGCAUACGACCUACGGGUGAAAGCAGGGGAUCUUCGGACCUUGCGCAGAUGGAUGAGCCGAUGCCGGAUUAGCUAGUUGGAGGGGUAAAGGCCCACCAAGGCGACGAUCCGUAGCUGGUCUGAGAGGGUGAUCAGCCACACUGGAACUGAGACACGGCCCAGACUCCGACGGGAGGCAGCAGUGGGGAAUAUUGGACAAUGGGCGCAAGCCUGGUCCAGCCAUGCCGCGUGUGUGAGGAAGGCCUUCGGGUUGUAAAGCACUUUUGUUGGGAAAGAAAAGCAGCCGGUUAAUACCCGGUUGUCAUGACGGUACCCAAAGAAUAAGCACCGGCUAACUUCGUG
rnacentral:rRNA from 1 species